GAGGCACCCUGGAAGCGAGCACUGGCCAGGUUCUUCAGGCAGCCGUCUCGGACUCGCGCCCUUCCUCAGGCGGCGCCUUGGUGGCUUCUUUAUUUCUGCCUCUUGUCUGCGGCGAAUGCAAAGCCUCGCGGGGGAAGUGCUUGGCAGGGUGGAGCGAGAUGCACAGGCAGGACACCCCGCGCAGCGGCUGGGGAGUGCAAAGAGUCAGCCACCCCCCCCCUUUCUUCAUCGCUUCCUCCCUCCACGCUGCCAGGGGGCAGGAAUCGGCCGACGCUGGCAGGAGUUGAAAAGGUCGCUUUUACUGCCUGCCGCUGGGAGCCUGUCAAGUGCACGCUUGGGCCCCAUUUGGACAUAACACCAAACCAGAGGUAAAUGUGACAGAGUUUUGAGUAUGUGAUCGUCUGAAAGCAUGAAGCUGCAGUUUCAACACCCAGCCACAGCUCAGUUUUCACUCCAAAUCUGACUUUGAACCCUCGGUUUGUUGUGAGUUUCACUGUUGAACACGGAGGUUAGGAGCAUCAUUGUGUCAUCUGAAUUCUGCCGCCCACCAUAUCUUCGGUUUUGUGUGCAAGCUCCUCCCACCACCAUAUAGAGGCUGGCUCAGAGCAGCCGAUAAAUGCAUCAAUUCUAGGGCAGCUGCAGUUCUCCCUGGCUGCCUCUAGGAGCUCAUGCCCCACCCUCUGCUGUCCCCUUGCUCCUCUUGCCUCUGCUUGGCAACAGGGAUGCCAUGUCUCUGCAGUUCCUGCAUUUAAAGGUAUGGAACUGAGGAACGCACACUUUAAAUAAAAAGAGAAUAGACACACAUGCAA